GACGAACGCUGGCGGCGUGCUUAACACAUGCAAGUCGAACGGAAAGGCCCUGCUUUUGUGGGGUGCUCGAGUGGCGAACGGGUGAGUAACACGUGAGUAACCUGCCCUUGACUUUGGGAUAACUUCAGGAAACUGGGGCUAAUACCGGAUAGGAGCUCCUGCUGCAUGGUGGGGGUUGGAAAGUUUCGGCGGUUGGGGAUGGACUCGCGGCUUAUCAGCUUGUUGGUGGGGUAGUGGCUUACCAAGGCUUUGACGGGUAGCCGGCCUGAGAGGGUGACCGGCCACAUUGGGACGGAGAUACGGCCCAGACUCCUGCGGGAGGCAGCAGUGGGGAAUAUUGCACAAUGGGCGGAAGCCUGAUGCAGCAACGCCGCGUGCGGGAUGACGGCCUUGGGUUUGUAAACCGCUUUCGCCUGUGACGAAGCGUGAGUGACGGUAAUGGGUAAAGAAGCACCGGCUAACUAC
rnacentral:rRNA from 1 species